ensembl:miRNA
AAAGUGCUUACAGUGCAGGUAGCAUUCUGCGAUCUACUGCAAUGCAAGCACUUCUUA